GUUCCAUUUGCUUUUGGAAAUUGUAUCUAGAUGAAGGGAGAGAGUGAUACUUCAUCCUGCUGCAGAACUUAUACAGCUGGUAAGAUGCUGUAGAACGGGUCUGUAGAAUGUGAGGUGUGAGUUACUUCUGCAAAGUACUUCCAGUAUACUUUAACUAAGUGGAACUAUCAGGGAGAGAAAGGAUUCGCAGAUAAAUUAUUUUAGACCAAGUAGCACACUCCUGUAACUCUUCUGAAAUACAGCUGCACAUGUUAUUCCCAUGGCACAUUUGGCAUUCUUCUUCCCACUACCUUCACGGCCUCAGUCAGGACUGUUUUGCUCUGCGCCAACGUAACACCGAUUGCGCAGUCAGCUCUCAAACAGGGCUUCAGAACCAGGCAGCAGGAGCACAGGAAAGCACGGAGAGUGUUACAGGACAUGUAAGUGUGCUCCCUGCAUUGGUGUUUGUCUGGCAGUGUGCCUGGACUGCUGAGCGUGAGCCACUGCUCCAUAUCAGAGCAGGAGAGUUUCCCUGACAGUGGUGGGCCUGGAGGCAGAAGGAGUCCCAUGUGAUGCGGUCGUUGCCACGAACCUACGUUGCUUGUCUACAGAAGAGAGAGGAGCUGAAGACAUUUGCAGAGCUGAUACAUGAUGGAGAGACUGCUGCAGCAUCAACACCAAAUGUGUGGGCAACAAAAUACCAAGUCCUG
rnacentral:lncRNA from 1 species